ensembl:lncRNA
UGACUGAUGAAGCCGAGCUGUUGAUUACCUGGCUUCUGUAAAGGCACGGUUACUGUACUGGUGUUAGCUUAUGCUUGUACAAUAAAGCUUACAAAAGGCAGCAAUCAGAUGUCCGAGCCUGAGUACGACACAGUUUCAUCAGUUAAAACACACCCUUACGGUGGGAGUUUACUAAAUUAAAGGUAGUUAGCUUAGUAAAAACCGUACAGUAAUCAACACUUAGCCAGUCCCCGCGACGGAGAAGCGGAGGAGGGUCUGUGUCGACUACGGAGAAUCCAGCGAUUAGACGGAGCCCGGCCGAUCGACGUGACUUCGUUCUCAAAACACCGUUAAGCCCUCUUACGUGAGAGACUGUGUGUGGAUUUCUUUGCUGUGACUAUUAGGGCGCUGGCAUAGGAUAAGCCAGCCGCCGAAAACGAACUUUUAAUUCAGUUACUAGCCGCUAAGCGACCGGAAGUGGGUCGCCGCCAUCUUUGUUGAGGGCAAAGGAAUAACGCCGGUAAUAAACGAGGAGAAAAGUCAGUAUGGCAUGCCGAGAAGAAUUAAAGAAAAGGCGGUCCUCUGUGCAAGCAGUUUUUACUAGGAAGGCCAAUUCCAUUGUUUUUAACAUUGAUCUUCUGACUGAACAUGACCUCAUGUCUGAAUGUAGGACACUCAAAGACAGUUAUAAUGAGGUUUGUGAUGGCAGCUUUGAUUACAUUGCUGCUAUGGAAGAAGAAGAUGCAAGUGGGUUUGCAGCAGAAAUAGCUGAAGUGGAGAAGAAGCUGCAGGACUGCCGCUCAAAAUACCAGACCACAGAAAUGAAACUAAAGGAAGCAUCAUGGUCCCGUUGUGCAUCAGGUCAGUUUGACAGUCUAAGAGUUGACCUAAAAGAUGCGAUUAGCCAGGUGGAGGCGCUCAAAACAGGUCAAACAAAACAGGAUCAGUUUGAUUCAAUGCUUACUGCUGUGGAAGGCAGAGAGGAAGCUCUAAGUGAGUUUGUGCUUAAGUGGGAUCGUUAUGUUCCAGAGAGAGAGGUGAAUGUUAUGCGAGCUUGUCUCAAAGAGCUCAAGGAAAGGAGGAGAGUAGCUAUGGUGGUGCUGGCUACCGUCCUGGAUGGAAGAAAGAGAUCCGGGUGUGGCGACCUUAGGAGCCGGACUAGCAGUGAAGGUGAAGGCAGUGAUGAAGGUGGCGCUGACGGUGGAGUGACGACCAGCACUAGCAAGCCCAAUGGGCCCGCCGCGACCGGUGGAGAUGAUGGCCCAGCGCGUGGCGAUGGUGCGCUAGAUGCUGACGUGAACCCUGCUGCAUACCAAAGUGCUGCGGUGGACAGUAGUAACCAAGUCGUUGAUGCAGGUGGUCCCAAUGGAGCGCGAGUUGCAAGUCCUUCCACUGUAACCCUUCAAGCGCCACCACAGGGACCACUAUCCCCGAGACUCGUGAGUCCUGUGUUCAUCCAUGGCCUUUCAAGCACGCCACAGCAGCUUCGAAGAAUGCAUGGUGUAAGACCCGAUGGUGCUGGGGCAGGGCAGAGCACGUCUACCAUCUCUCAAGGAUCACUCGGAACGAGGAUCGCACUCGCACCCCUGAGCCUACCAAAGUUCUCUGGGGACAGGAGGAACUACUGGCGCUGGAAGAGUAACUGGGGAACCCUCCAAGCAUUAGCGGAA